CUAAAAGUAAUUUCAACAUACAACUUUCCUCCAUUUUUUUUGUCAAAACCAAAUCCAAAGCCUUUAAAACACCUGUUAUACUAAUUAUGUGAUGACCUGUAAAAUUACCACAAAAUUAAAAUCAUGAACUUAUGUGACUUGAAAUGCAGGCCUGCUCCAUAUACGCUAUAUGAUCCAAGAUAUGCUGACAUUGGUCUACCGGUGGAUCCUUAUUUACGUGCAAUGAAGCUGAAUCCACACUUUUCAAUGCAAAAAGCGACAAGUGAGGAAAGUUCAACCACUAAAAGAAAACGGAGAGAAGUUGUUGAGCCAGAACAUAGACAGAGCAGGAUAGAUUAUCCUCAGGCGAUCAG